rnacentral:lncRNA from 1 species
UUUGGAAUGUGUUAAGAGGGUCGGUCCAGCUUUAAGAACUAUGGUAAAUUUUUAGCACACCAUUUUCUUUGCUCUGUCUGAAAAUCAAAAGUAUCCAAUAUGAGACUUGCAAUGAAGAAGGGGGAUGCUUUGAACCUGUAUUAGGGUAUUAUGGGUGAGAAUUUAGAACUGAAUAGCAGCAAUGGAUACAGAACAGAGCACACAUCCAGGAGGAUUGCUUACUGAUCUAAAGGUUUUUCUGAAGCAUAUAAAGAGCAGCUGAGGACAGAUAUUUUUCUCGUUACUUGUGAAGAUGUAUAUUAUUCAAAAACACAAGAGAAAAAUCAAAGAAAGAGGAACAUACAUUUCUCUUUUCUUGUACAGAACCAUCACUACUAUGUCAUAGUGCCAGAGACAGCUUGGCAAGUCAUAGGCUAGAAAUGGAAACUCAAAAUGCCUUUUUAGAAACAAGUGUUUUGAAUGAUUCUUCCAUUUUCUGUAAUUGUCACUGGAACUGGAUGAUACUGAGUUGGAGUAGAUUUUCCUUUGGACUGCUAUAAAUGAACAAUCAACACAUGUGCAGGAUAAAGACUUUGCUGACCCACUCCCUGUGCAACUGUUAGAGAAAGACAUAAGUUCUGGUUUGCAAACGGAUUUAAAAGGGUAUGCAUCCUGAACAUGAAGCAUAAAGAGUUUGGAGAGUUUUAUCACUUGAAAGAAGAGAACAGAAUCAAUUCCUAAAUAAGGCAAUAAAG